rnacentral:lncRNA from 1 species
GGUCACUCUUUUGUGGUAAUUCUACAUCCUUACCUAGGCAGUGAUGAUAUAUGCGUUCUCUCAAAGUAUGUGGUAUUUGUGGUAUGAGGCAUAAUGAUAUUGCCUUCUCUCUCACCCUACUCUAACAAGGUUUUGAUAUCUGGAGCUCAUAGGUGGGAGACAGUUAAUACAUACUUACAAGACAUUUAUUGCAUAGUCAAACCAUGGAUCCAGAGAAACAAGUGAAUAAGUCAAAUCAAGAUGUGCAUGUGUGGUGGAUGAAUGGUGUAUAGUGAUGAUGGUGAUAAUGGUGAAAAUAAUGGUGAAAGUCUAAUUCUACUUUUGCUCUUUUGAGGGAAUACAUACCUUUCUUGCACUUUGAAGGUUUUUGAGAGGAAUGAAAUGCUCUAUAUUUUCCUUUUCUUUUCUCUCAGGUAUCUUGUACCCCUAAUUCUACUGUCGGACACUUGUCCAUUUUUACCUCUCGUCUCACUUUUUCUUUUCUUUCGAGGUUCCGGGCACUUGCCCCUUUUUAUUUCCUCGUAUUCACUUUUCUUUUUUUUUCAGAGCACUCACCCUCCUAGAAUAAUGUACCAAGUGGUGGUAACCAAAAUAUCAAGAGCAUUUAUUUCACCGGGAAUAACAGGAAUAGGAUAAUGUUUUUUGGCUAUUCUCUCCUGGAUAGGAGUAGAUUAAUUUUGGGUAAAUCUAGAGAUGGAAAUGAGUGGAUGUGUACUUCCGGAGUAGAAGCAGCAUGUAUGAGUGAAUGUGUAAGUGGAUCUUGAUUUUAACCGCAUGACAAGCUCCUAAGGGUUUACACAGCUUGACCACACUCAAUGCUCAUAAGCAGUAAAAGUAAAUGUAUGGUUCAUAGUCUAAUAUGCAUUAUAUAUGGCUAUGGUAGGAGUUUAAACUCUCAUCAUACAGGAACUCAUCAUGCAACAUUUUAAAUAUUUUCAAAGAUAAAAUUCUCUAGAUUUCUAGCAUCUCUAGAAACAGAUAAAUAGCUGGUCAACCUUCCCAUAUCGUAUCCGUUAACGACUUAGACUUUAGAUCAAGUACUCUUCCCACAUGUUCAGUUUAAGAGCAAAUCUUAAUUCAUAACAGUCAUGCCUAAACUUGAGAGAGAUUUCAAUUUUGAGAACUUGGCAGAGCAACUAUUCAUCAUUUUCAUGUGAGAGCUUAUCAUGAGGGUUCAUAGCAAAAUUUAUUUAUUUAGCAACCUAAGCAAAGAUAUUUAUAUAAGCACAAAAUCUUUAUUUAGGUUUUUAUGAUUAUGCAUCUUUUUAUUAUUUGAGUAAAGUAUAAACAUGAGUAGAAACACUUAGCUGGAUAGCUGGAUUUUGACGUAAUUUCUUCUGAUGUAGCUAGCAGGUGGCGGAGGUGUAUUUGAAUGUCGGCAGCACCAUGACAGCGAUUAGAAUGUCCUCCGUCUGCUAGUCUUCUUUGAUCCUUGAAUUCUGUGGAGCUCAAAUAGACAACAAAGCUUUGUGGAACUGGUUAAGUGUUAGCAUAAAUAUCUCUAAGCCAUUAUCAUGUUGAGCUUCCUCUAAUAAAUAUUACUCUCUUUGGUAGGAUCAUAAAUUUAUUUUUAUAUUUUCAUUUCUAUAGAAUAGGAAUAUAUUUAUUUUAUUUUUACGCCACCACAGUGAAUGUACUUAUGUGUUUUAUGCCACGAGCAUACUCACAUGGAGCUUACUAUUUUUAUGAUGCAGUGGAAUGAACAAGUAUUUUUUGUUUUCUUUUCUAAUGCAAAUGUGGAAAAGUAAAUAUGCUAAUACAAGUGAUGAAACAAAAAAUGGAAAAAGAAUGUAGAAAAGAUAAAUAUGGAUAAAUACUGAUUUUACCUUUCGGCGAGGGUUCAAUGUUUUAAGUCUUCUGAACAAGACUUAUCACCGUGUUCAUUCUUUAGGUGCGUCAGUUGAUUCAGGUGUGGACCUUGACGUCUGCUCCUCUUGAUACAGUGUCACCCAUGUUCUUCAUUUGCAUAGAAUUUCAAAGUGUGGCGUUGGCAGUAUCUUGCUCAGUGUGUUUGUGCUCGUAGAUCCAGGUCCUUUACUUGGUGGAGUCUGGAAGUUUUAAAACUCCUCCAUGUUUUGCUCGAAGUGUACCUGCUCAUAGAGACAAGGCAGAGAUCAAGUGCAUGGGCCCUGUUGGUGAAAAACACCAACAGAACCAAAAGUGUAUUUGUUCUUCUCUAACAUUUAGCAUAGGGAGCAAGACAAAGUUGAUGGGUGAUAAGAUCAUGAGUGUAGUAUUUAAAACAUUUGUCAGAUCAGAUCGCUCAACCUUGUGGAAAGAUAAUCUAUCUAUGUAUAUGUCUUUUUCUUUAUAUCUCUCAAAUAUUGAAUGUGCAAUAUUUUAGCUCAUAUGAUUAGGAGUGUGGGAUCGCAAAAGUGGAAGGACUAAACAUGUUGAAUCGAUUGGGUCGGUUAACCUAGAGUUGUAAAUCAUACAUGUUUGUCUCUUUAUUUAUGUGAAAGCUAGAACCAAGGAGAAGCUUAUAAAAAUGAUAGUCACAUAUCUUAAGAUGUUACCUUAAUUGAAGAGUGAUGGUACAGUAUCACCUUGUGGAAGCUUUCCUUUCUUAGUGGUUGUGCAUCGUGUUUGUGGCACCCUCCAUGGAUCAUCUCUUAUGAGCUACGUCUUCCUUGUGUAAAUUGUUAAACUUUAUGUGUCUCUCUCCUUGUCUCCAAUGUGAGUUUAUCUCAGGACUUCCCAGGUUGAUAGUGAAAGUUUUCCUAUAGGGGUUAGUCCGACAAAAUAUACCAAUAUCUACUCAAGCAGUUUUUAGUUCAGUAACCAAACUAGACUCCAUGUCUAAUCAGAUUAAGGAAGGCUAUUUAACCUAAGCACCAUGCUUAAUUUAAAUCCCAAUGGAAGUAUGGUGAGUUCUUCCAAACCAACACUAUCUAGUAAAUAGACAAAGGUAGCAUGACAACAUUUAUAGAGAUCUACUUAAGUGGAGAUGAAGUAGUGUGAUUAGUAUUUAACAAUUUGAGCAUGUCUCAAAGGUAGGGACAACCAACAUAGCAACAUGUCAAAAGAUGUUUUUAUGUAUAGUACUCCCCCAAGCUUGAAUUUUGCAAAAUUCAAGUUUGGAUGAAUUUAAUUCAAUGUUGUAUGAUGAUUGGUUGGACAUACCUUGUGCUUGUCAUUCAUCCGAUCUUCUUGCUCCAAUCCUGGAAAGGUUAGUGACAAGAAUACCCGAAGGAAUAUUUUUACAAUUAUCCUUAUAUGCUCAGUACACAAGGUAAUGUUGUAAAUAAUUAGAAGCUCAUUUUACGAUCUGAUCAAUGCUUAUUUUAGGACACUAAGCUUGUCCUUGGAAAACCAUCAAUUUAUGUCGGCGAAGUGGUUUCCCUUCCAACGCUGACCUAUAUCGAGAUCAACUCAAUGAGAUCUGCAAUAUUUAUUAUAGACAUAUGCAUCGACAACCGCCCUUUUAAAGUUUUUGUAAAUAGAAAGGAAGAGGGUGUUGGAAAUCUCAAAUGUGGUGAUGUUGGAGAGACCAAUAGAUUGGGAAGAUGUUGCAUAUGAGCAUGGUGUAAAUGAGGUGGCUAUGAAAUAAAUUCCAUGCUUAUUAAUGUUAUCUUCAUCUCCAAUCUGAAUGUUCGGAAUUUCUCCUAGAUUGGUCUCACCUAUGUCCUCUUCUAUAGUUGGACGAAUCUCAUCUUGAAAGGGAGUCAAGAACUCACCAUUUGAAAUUGAGCCAAAGUCAGAAUCCAUUAAGGCUUCUUCCUUAUACAUCCAUUCUACACAUUCUAGCCAUUUAGAACUUGUGAUUAGGAAAGGGGAGGUGUUAGAAUUUUCUAUAUGGCUUAGUUCUCCUUCACUUGAUAUGUCAUCCUCGACUUCUUCAUAACAGGAACCAGGACAAUCUCUAAGAGAACCAUUAUUGCAAGGAUUUGAAUUAUCCCUACUUGAAGGUCUCUUAUGGAACCAGAAGUCUAAACCAUCAGUAUCUGAAAGAUUUAAGGUCAGAAUUCCUUCCUCCCUUGGAGAAUUUUGGGGUAUUGUUAGUUUAGGAUCGAUGGCUAAAGUUUGGGAUUGAAGUGGUUGUGAUCUGGCUAUCGAAACUUCUUCUUCUUGACUAGGAAUUGGUUCUUUCUCUUUCUCAGGGAUAUAAAAGCUAGGAGACUUUCCGCUCAUUAAAUCAAUCAAAUUCCAAGCUUCACUAGCAGGUAGGUGAUAGACGGAUCCUCUAGAUGCUGUAUUCAAGGUUUGCUUAUUUUCCCCACUAAGGCCCUCAAAAAAGUGAAUUAAAAGAACUUCUUCUGGAAUAGAAAGCUUGGGCCAGUGAGAGUAAGGUUAAUAAAGCGGUCCCAUGAUUUCCUAAGAGAUUCUUCUUCCAGUUGUCUAAAAGAAAUAAUCUCACGCCGAAGUUCCGCCACUUUGGAGAUUGGAAAAUAUUUAAAAAGAAAACUAUUAUAUAACUCCUUCCAAUCUCCAUCAAUACUCCCUACUUUGUGUUUAUACCAAUGCCUAGCUUUUCCCGUUAAAGAGAACGGAAAGAGCUUCCAUUUAAGGGUCUCAUCGGACAUGUCUUCAAUGCGAAGGAGGUCACAGACAUGACAAAACUCUUUUAGGUGUGUGUAUGGGUUUUCCUCACCUUCUCCUGAGAAAGGUUGUUUUUGAACAAAUUCUAUGUAUUCGGGGUCUAUCUCAAAACUAGAUGCUAUGAUAGGCUUUGAAGAUUUUGGUGGUUCGAGAUGUGUGCCCGUAGGUCUAUGAAAUUCAUAGAUAGACAUGUUUGAAUUCAUGAUAGACCAGAGAUCAAGGAUUAGAUAAGAAGAAAGAAUAGCAGAGAUAAGGCAAAGGAUAAAAGGAAAAUAUUUUAUUUUUAUUUUUUUAGAAAAUGAUUAAGCUAGUUCGUAGUCAAUUAAGCAAACGUUUCCCCGGCAACGGUGCCAAAAAUGCUUGUUGACACUUGCUAACACCACUUGAAUACUAGGUUGUCAUCCCCAGCAUGGCACUAGAGUGUACUAUGGUAUUUAUACGCACACAGAUAAAUCCGCAAGCGCACGGAUACCGUUAUAGCUUUUACCCGGUUAAAGAUUUUAUCGUAUCCACAGGGAAACGGGAGAACCAACUACGCUCUAACUUAACCAAGAUAAAUAGAUAGGUGUAAAUAGAAAAGAUGGUAGAAUUGAACAAGAACAAUAUUAAAGGUAAGAUAACAAUAGGUGAUAAUAUGGGAAUAGAGAGUAGAGCAAUCUAGUAUAUGGGCGAUGGUAGCAGAAUAGAGAGGAUAACUAUGGUUUCUCUACUUCAAAGGGGUAUGUCUAUGUCUGGGACGAACCACGUGAUAAGAAUACACCACAAAGAAUUCUUAUCCAUAGGCCGAUAAACCCUACCUGUCCUGCUAACAAGAGGUGGACUACAGGGGACCAACAUAACUUUCACCUACGUGGCCUACCACACAAUCUAGCUAGACAGGGGAUAUCCACAAGUAAUCUAGGUCUAAGCACCACGCUUACACCUAUACUACAACUCUCACCUAUAGCGUCCUAUAGAUUAGAAGUACUCAAAAGAGUUGUGAACUAGAACAUACAUGAUUAGUAAUUGCAUAAUGAAUUAGAAUUAGAUUACCAGAGUCAUCCCAUGAGCAAGCUUGAUUAGAGCUCGAUCAUGACGAAGUACAACCGGAGGAAGAACCGAUAGGCCGGCCUCUCCUCCAAUCCUCCCUCGCUCUCCAUCUCGCUACUAUAUAGAUCUACUCUAGUUUAGAGAAGAGAGGAGAGCUCGCAUCUCUAAACCCUAGCUUUUGCUCUGUCUAUGAAUAAUGAAUAAUGAUCAAGGGGUGCCUCCUCCAGGGGCGAGGGGGUCUGGUUAUAUAGUCCCCUCAAGUGAAUCUGGGCCGUCGGAUCAUACCGACAUUAAUUGAACGGUUAUUCUUGAUCCUUUAGGUCGGUGGAGCAUAAUCCGCGAGAUUGAGCGUGAUUGGUUGAAACUCCAGGGUGGGCGCCCAAGGGGGGAGGGCGGGCGCCCUGCCCCCGGGCCCGUUCGGCCUCCCAUUCGUUCCCGUGGCUUCUGGAGUCUUCUAGGUGAUAGAAAAUUGUGCGGCAUGUUAAUAUCUCUAUGUAAACCCGACGUGUGGGCCUUUCCUCCAUAUUUGCUGAUAACCCCCUGCAGAAAUAGACAAACACCAAAACUCGUGUAAUUCUGUCAGAUAAAAGCCUAAGUUUGGGUGUUGGUUGCAUUUGGAUCCUUUUCUUUAUUUAUUUGUUGAUUAUAUUUGGUACUUAAGCACCGUCAACAGCAUGUAGUGUUGAUUGCCUCAGCCCACAUCUUCUCUAAAGUGUUGUACUCAUCUAGCAUUGUUCUUGCCAAGGUGAUCAAUGUCCGGUUCUUUCUUUCUACAACCCCAUUUUGUUGUGGUGUGUAUGUUGAGGAGAACUCAUGUUUGAUUCCCACUUCAUCACAAUACUCCUCAAUGUUGGUGUUCUCAAAUUCUUUGCCAUUGUCACUUCUAAUUUUCUUGAUCUGGAUAUCAAAUUGAUUUUGGUCAUUAUUUGCAAACUUCUGGAAUAUUGAUGCAACUUCGGCUUUGUCUUGCAAGAAGAAUGUCCAAGUGUACUGGGAGAAAUCAUCAACUACGACCAAGCAAUAUUUGUUGCCUCUAAGACUAGCAUAUGUGGUUGGUCCAAAUAAAUCUAUGUGGAGUAGCUCAAGCACUCUUGAAGUAGAGAGAUAGGCCUUGGUUGGAUGAGUGUUUGCAACUUGCUUGCCCGCUUGACAUGCACUACAAAGCUUUUCAUUUCAAAAGUCACAUCCUUCAAGCCUCUAAUCAAUUCUUUCUUCAUCAACUCCUUGAGUGUGCCCAUUCCAACAUGUGAUAACCUUCUAUGCCACAACCAACCAAGUGAGGUCUUGGUGAAUAAGCAAGUCUUGACAUCAACUUCAUCGGAUGAGAAAUCAACUACAUAUAAGUGUUGUGUCGGAAGCCUUUGAAUACCAUUUCAUUAUCAUCCUCCUUGGUCACAAAUACUUCCUUCUUCUUGAAUAAGCAUUCAAAACCAAGAUCACAAAGUUGUCCAACCGACAACAAGUUGAAACUCAAUGAUUGCACAUAGAGCACAAUGGUGAUGGAGUUGUCAUUUGAUAUGGCAACCUUUCCUAGUCCCUUGACCUUGCCUUUUGAAUUGUCACCAAAUGUAAUAUUCUCUUGGUUGUCAACAUCUUCAUCAAGAGAGGUGAACAUUCGGGAAUCUCCGGUCAUAUGUUGAGUGCAACCACUAUCAAUUACCCAAUGUGAUCGACCGGUCUUGUAGUUCACCUAGACACAAGAGAUCAAGCUUGAGAUUUAGGGACCCACAUUUGCUUAGGGCCCUUGACCUUCUCUACUAGUUGCUUUGGCACCCAAAUCUUCUUUGGCCUUUGCUUGUUGGGUGGCCCCAUGAAGCUAACCUUGACCUUGCCACUCUUGUCUUUCCUUACAAUGUAGUGAGCAUUGAAGGCAAAUGGUCUAGCAUGCUUGGGCAAGGGUGGUGGUAGUGGUGCCUUACACUCAUGAGCAAAGUGUCCUUCUUGACCACAUUCAAAGCAUCUCUUUGGCUUUGGCUUGCUUGGUUGAUCAUGAGUGGCUAGUGACUUGAUGAGCUUUGUUUGAUGAGCCUUGUAGCCAAUUCCACUCUUGUCCAUCUUCAUGACGGUGUUCAUGAAAAGCUCACUUUGAAGGUCCUUCCCUUUUGUGAACUUUGCUAACCCUGUGGUUAGAUGUUCCUUCUCUUUCUUGAGCUUGCUAUUCUCUUGAGAUCGCUUCUUGAUGAUUGGGUCAUUAUUGCUUGCUAACUCAUCUAAGAUGAAUGUCUCAUCUUCUUCUUGCUUGUCAUACAUCAAACCAAGCUUGAGAUAUUGAUUUUCUUCCUUGAGCAACUUGUUCUCAUAUGCAAGCUUCUUGGCUUGAUUAAGUGACUCAAUCACAAUGGUCUUGUGCUUGGCUUGCUCUUGCAACUCUUUCUUGAGCAUGACAAUUUCUUCCUUGAGCUUGAUAGUGUCCUCAUAGCUCUCGGCCACUACCACUUUCUUGCCCUUGCAUUCAACACAUUUGCUUGUGCUCUCCACAAGUAAGUCAUCACAAGUUGUGGCUACAUCAAGCUUAGUAACAUGGUUAGUAGCAACAUGUGUUUCAUCAAUUGCAAGUUCAUAAGCUAUCUCAAGGUUGCCAUAAUUUGCUUUUAGAGUUGUUAAUUAUUCUUUCAUUGCUCUAUAUCUAGUGAUAAGAUCAUCAUGAACACUCUCAAGUUUAUCAUGUUUUUCUUUGAGCUCUUUUAAAGAGAGUUUGAGCUCCUUGAGCUUAGUGGUCAUGAUCUCAUUUUGAUCUCUAAGCUCAUCACUAGACUUAAGCUUUUCUAGAAGUGUUUCAUUUUCAAGUUCAAGCUUUUCAUUUUCACUUCUAGAUUUUCUUAUGACUUUUGUAUAUUUGUUUAGAAAUUUUACAAGUUCAUCAUAAGAAGGUGAUUCGUAUUCACUAUCACUCUCACUACUCUCAUCCUCACUUUGUACCUUCCGGACACCUUUAGCCCUGAGCCAUAUGUGUGUAGAGGAUGUGGAUGGUGGUGAAGAUGAUGGUGAUGAAGCAUCAAUUGCAAUGGCGGCAACCUUCUCAUCAUCACUCUCAUUGCCGGAGGAGUCACCACUUGAGCUCUCAAUGUCGGUGAGCCAAUCACCAACAAUGUAAGCCUUGCCAUUCUUAUUCUUAUAGUGCUUUUCUUCUUCUUGCCACCUUUCUUCUUGUAUGGCUUCUUGUCAUUCUUCUCAUCAUCACUUGAAUCAUCUUGCUCUUUCUUCUGCUUCUUGUACUUAUAUAGUUGCAGCAAAAGUAUAAUGUUGAGGAAGAUCUGACAGAUCCUCCUCCUCCGCUCUCCUCUUCUCUCUCCCUAUUUUCUAGAUUACAACUAGAACUAACUAGAACUAGAACUAGAUGAACUAGAACUAGAUGAACAAGAACUAAAACUAGAUGAACUAGAGGGAUCCUCUCUACUUGGAUGAAGAAUUGAAACCCUAGCUUUGAUUCUGUAGAAGAGGUAUGAUCUCCAGGGGCCAGGGGGCUUGCUUAUAUAGUCUUUUCAGAUGAAUCUGGGCAUCGGAUCAAACCGACAUUAAUCACAUGGUUUUCCUUGAUCCUUUAGGUCGGUGGAGCGUGAUCCGUGAAAUGGGUCCGAAUUGGACACUGAAGGUGGGGGGGCGCCCAAAGGAGUAGGCUGGGCGCCCUGUCCCUGAGCCCUCUCGGCUUCCCGUUCACUCCCGUGGCUUCUGGAGUUCUAAAUGAUAGAAAAUUGCACGACACGUUAAUAUCUCUAUGUAAACCCGACGUGUGGGCCUUUCUUCUAUAUUUCCUGAUAACUCCCUACAGAAAUAGACAAAUACCAAAACUCAUGGAAUUCUGUCACAUAAAACCCUAAGUCUGGUGUUGGUUGCAUUUGGAUCCUUUUCCUUGAUUAGUUGACGGUUAAAUAUGAGCAUUAAUAAGGACCGUCAACAAGCUCCCCCAAGCUUAACCUUUGCUCGUCCCUGAGCAAAGAUGGACUCAAGAGUUUCUGCAGUGGUUUCAUGCCUUAAAAAUACACAUGUGUUUAAACAAGAUCUCAUCUCUGGGUUAGAGUAAACUGUUAAUACUUAAAACUUACUCAUUUUACCUUUCACCAUGGGGCUUGCAACCGUCACUUGUGUCUUGAGCAGUUAAAAGAUAGAACGGUCAAGUCAAGCGCCAUGUCUCUUGUUCUUCGAUUAACUAUAGCUCUGGAGUUUUUGCAGAUUUUCAAAUAAAACUCAGAGAUUCCUUGUAUGACUCUCUCUAGUCUCUCUUUUGUGGUAUUUCUGGAUCCUUACCAAGGCAGUAAUGGUAUAUGCCUUCUCUCAAAGUAUGUGGUAUUUUUGGUAUAAGGCAUAGUGACAUUGCCUUCUCUCUCACCCUACUCUAAUAAGGCUUUUGAUAUCUGGAGCUCAUAGGUGGGAGACAGCUAACACAUACUUACAAGACAUUUAUUGCAUAGUCAAACCAUGGAUCCAGAAGAACAAGUCAAUAAGUCAAAUCAAGAUGUGCAUGUGUGGCGAAUGAAUGGUGUAUGGUGAUGAUGGUGAUAACAAUGGUGAACGUCUAAUUCUACUUGUGCUCUUUUGAGGGGAUACAUACCUUUCUUGCUGUUUUGAAACUUUUUGAGGAGAAUGAGAUGCUCUAUAUUUUCUUUUUUUUUCUUUUUUUUUCUUUUCUCUCAGGUUGGUAUCUUGUACCCCUAAUUCUACUGUCGGACACUUGUCCAUUUUUACCUCUCAUCUCACUUUUUCUUUUCUUUCGAGGUUCCGGGCACUUGCCCCUUUUUAUUUCCUCGUAUCUCUUUUUUUUUAGAGAGCACUCAUCUCAUGAAAUAAUACAGCAAGUGGUAGUAACAAGAUAACUUGAGCAUUUUUUUUUCACCGGGAAAAAUAGAAAUAGGAGAAUGUUUUUGGCUAUUCUCUCCCGGAUUAGGAGUAGAAUAUUUUUGGGUGGUUCUGGAGAUGGAAAUGGAUGGAUAUAUGUGGAUGGUACUUCUGGAGUAGAAGUAGCUUGUGUGAGUGAAUGUGCAAGUGAAUCUUGAUUUAACCACAUGACAAGCUCCUAACGGUCUACACAGCUUGACCACACUCAAUGCUCAUAAGUAGUAAAAAGUAAAUGUGUGGCUCAUAGUCUAGCAAGCAUGUAUAUACGGCUGUGGUAGGAAUUUAAACUCUCAUCAUACAGGAACUCAUCAUGCAACAUUUUAAAGAUUUUCAAAGAUAAAGUUCUCCAGAAUUCUAGCAUCUCUAGGAACAGAUAAAUAGCAGCUCAACCUUCCCAUAUCAUAUCCGUUAACGACUUAGACUUCAGAUCAAGUACUCUCCCCACAAGUUCAGGUUUAGAGCAAAUCUUAAUUCAUAACAGUUAUGCCUAAACUUGAGAGAGAUUUCAAUUUUAGGAACUAGUCAUGGCAAAGAAACUAUUCAUCAUUUCCAUGUGAGAGCUUAUCAUGAGGGUUCAUAACAAACUUUAUUUAUUUAUUUAUUUAGCAAGCUAAGCAAAGAUAUAUAUAUAUAAGCACAAAAUUUUUAUUUGGGUUUUCAUGAUUAUGCAUCUUUUUAUUAUUUAAGUAAAAUAUAAACAUGAGUAGAGCACUUAGCUGGAUAAAGGGGUUGCUCUCCCCCAAGCUGGAUUUUGACAUAAUUCCUUUUGAUGUAGCUAGCAGGUGGCGGAGGUGUAUUUGAAUGUCGGCAGCACUCUGACAGCGAUUAGGAUGUUGGCGACGAAAGCUGGUCGGCAGUCUACCUUGGGGUAUACCCACGGUAGUAGUUUAUCGGUAGACGGUGCACAAACUACGAACUCGAUGGUGACGCAAGACACGGACAAGCUUUUUAUCCAGGUUCGGCCGCCGAGUUGGCGUAAUACCUACGUCCUGCGUCUGGUUGUAUUGAUUUGUGUUGAGAGAAUAUGAUGUCCUAGGGGGGUCCUUUGCCUCUCCUUAUAUAGUCCGGAGGGCAUGGUUACAGAUCUGGAAACUAAUCCUAGUCGGUUACAAUUGCAAUAGACAGUUCAUUAUCAAUUCCUAUUCUAACCGACUAGAAUCCUGCUUGAUCUCCACGUCUUGUUUCCUUGCGCGAAACUCCGAGCUGUCAGAUCAAACCUUGAGCUUGUCUCGUAGUGGGCCAAGCCUCCUGGCCCAAGUCUAGCCGUAAGGGUAUAGGGGUUUAUACCCCCACAGCUAGUCCCCGAGCACCAUGUAUUGUGAUGUAACACGCCGUCUUG